GAGUUUGAUCAUGGCUCAGGAUGAACGCUAGCGACAGGCCUAACACAUGCAAGUCGAGGGGUAACAUGGUAGCUUGCUACCGAUGACGACCGGCGCACGGGUGAGUAACGCGUAUGAAACCUGCCUUUUACAGGGGGAUAGCCCGGAGAAAUCCGGAUUAAUACCCCAUGGUUCCUUAGGUUCACAUGAACCAAAGGAUAAAGCUUCGGCGGUAAAAGAUGGUCAUGCGUGACAUUAGCUAGUUGGCGGGGUAACGGCCCACCAAGGCGACGAUGUCUAGGGGUUCUGAGAGGAAGGUCCCCCACACUGGUACUGAGACACGGACCAGACUCCUACGGGAGGCAGCAGUGAGGAAUAUUGGUCAAUGGGCGAGAGCCUGAACCAGCCAUGUCGCGUGCAGGAAGACUGCCCUAUGGGUUGUAAACUGCUUUUGUACGGGAAGAAACGCGCCCACGAGUGGGCGCCUGCCGGUACCGUACGAAUAAGGAUCGGCUAACUCCGUGCCAGCAGCCGCGGUA
rnacentral:rRNA from 1 species